rnacentral:tRNA from 1 species
CCUCUCGUAGUGUAGGGGUAACGCGCCCUGUCUUGUGCACAGGGUUUCGUGGGUUCGAUUCUCACCGAGAACG